rnacentral:rRNA from 1 species
AACGAACGCUGGCGGCAUGCCUAACACAUGCAAGUCGAGCGAGACCUUCGGGUCUAGUGGCGCACGGGUGCGUAACGCGUGGGAACCUGCCCUUAGGUUCGGAAUAACUCUCCGAAAGGGGUGCUAAUACCGGAUAAUGUCUUCGGACCAAAGAUUUAUCGCCUUUGGAUGGGCCCGCGUUGGAUUAGCUAGUUGGUAGGGUAAAAGCCUACCAAGGCGACGAUCCAUAGCUGGUCUGAGAGGAUGAUCAGCCACACUGGGAGUGAGACACGGCCCAGAAUCCUACGGGAGGCAGCAGUGGGGAAUAUUGGAAAGUGGGCGAAGGGCUGAUCCAGCAAUGCCGCGUGAGUGAUGAAGGCCUUAGAGUUGUAAAGCUCUUUUACCCGGGAUGAUAAUGACAGUACCGGGAGAAUAAGCUCCGGCUAACUCCGUG